GACGAACGCGGCGGCGUGCCUAAUACAUGCAAGUCGAGCGAAGUUUUUCUGGUGCUUGCACUAGAAAAACUUAGCGGCGAACGGGUGAGUAACACGUAAAGAACCUGCCUCAUAGACUGGGACAACUAUUGGAAACGAUAGCUAAUACCGGAUAACAGCAUUAACUGCAUGGUUGAUGUUUAAAAGUUGGUUUUGCUAACACUAUGAGAUGGCUUUGCGGUGCAUUAGCUAGUUGGUGGGGUAAAGGCCUACCAAGGCGACGAUGCAUAGCCGACCUGAGAGGGUGAUCGGCCACACUGGGACUGAGACACGGCCCAGACUCCUACGGGAGGCAGCAGUAGGGAAUCUUCCGCAAUGGGCGAAAGCCUGACGGAGCAACGCCGCGUGAGUGAAGAAGGAUUUCGGUUCGUAAAGCUCUGUUGUUAGGGAAGAAUGAUUGUGUAGUAACUAUACACAGAGAGACGGACCUACCAGAAGC
rnacentral:rRNA from 1 species